rnacentral:lncRNA from 1 species
GCAUCUAAGCUGUCCUAAAGCUCUUUCCAGUUACUUCCCGCUGUUUCCGGGCCGUGUGGUGAGGCACUCCAGCUUCUACUCUGUCACGCUGAUCGUAAAGGCACAGUGUGGGAAAGUCCCCUACUGGGAUGGCCGUCGCUUGGAAGCAGGGCAGGCUAAGGGGCCCGCAGCUGCCCAAGGCUGGUGUAGACGUCCUCUGCUCCGCUCAGCUCCUCAAAGAUUGGGAUCAGGUUCAGCAACUCAGUGUCUGCCAUGUCAUCAAACCAGGACUGCACAGGCACUGCAUUCUCGGGGUGGAAUAUGUAAGAAGCAGGCGAGUUGUCCAGGAUGAGGGUCUUUCUCAGGUCCCUCCCCAGGCGGCUGAGGUCCUUGACGUAGCAGCCCUGGUGGAACACGCAAGACUCACGGAAUAGGCGGGCCCGGAACACCCCACACCGGUCCAGCAGGUCUGUCACAGGGUCGGCAUACUUGGCCAGGCUGGCAGUGAAGAGAACACAUUCAAAGAGUUCCCCCAUGCGUCUCAGGAACUCAUCCACAUAAGGCCUCUUGAGCACAUAC